rnacentral:tRNA from 1 species
UGACUCAGUUGGUAGAGCAUGGUGUUUGCAACGCCAGGGUUGUGGGUUCGACUCCCAC